GCUGCCACUAGAGGCGUUGCAGCGUGACAUCACAGUGUUGUGUCUGUGUCAUUAGCUCGCUGAAAGGUGCCAUGUGUCACCUACUUGCCCUAGCACUGUGGGCACUUGGAGAGUUUUGUGGCACAACAUU